rnacentral:rRNA from 1 species
ACCGUACUCCUACGGGAGGCAGCAGUGGGGAAUUUUGGACAAUGGGGGCAACCCUGAUCCAGCAAUGCCGCGUGAGUGAAGAAGGCCUUCGGGUUGUAAAGCUCUUUUGUCAGGGAAGAAACGGUAGUAGCUAAUAUCUAUUACUAAUGACGGUACCUGAAGAAUAAGCACCGGCUAACUACGUGCCAGCAGCCGCGGUAAUACGUAGGGUGCAAGCGUUAAUCGGAAUUACUGGGCGUAAAGCGUGCGCAGGCGGUUGUGUAAGUCAGAUGUGAGAUCCCCGGGCUCAACCUGGGAACUGCAUUUGUGACUGCAUGGCUAGAGUACGGUAGAGGGGGAUGGAAUUCCGCGUGUAGCAGUGAAAUGCGUAGAUAUGCGGAGGAACACCGAUGGCGAAGGCAAUCCCCUGGACCUGUACUGACGCUCAUGCACGAAAGCGUGGGGAGCAAACGGGAUUAGAAACCCGAGUAGUCCUUGAC